GACGAACGCUGGCGGCGUGCCUAAUACAUGCAAGUAGAACGCACAGUUUAUACCGUAGCUUGCUACACCAUAGACUGUGAGUUGCGAACGGGUGAGUAACGCGUAGGUAACCUGCCUGGUAGCGGGGGAUAACUAUUGGAAACGAUAGCUAAUACCGCAUAAUAUUAAUUAUUGCAUGAUAAUUAAUUGAAAGGUGCAAUUGCACCACUACCAGAUGGACCUGCGUUGUAUUAGCUAGUAGGUGAGGUAACGGCUCACCUAGGCGACGAUACAUAGCCGACCUGAGAGGGGGAUCGGCCACACUGGGACUGAGACACGGCCCAGACUCCGACGGGAGGCAGCAGUAGGGAAUCUUCGGCAAUGGACGAAAGUCUGACCGAGCAACGCCGCGUGAGUGAAGAAGGGUUUCGGAUCGUAAAGCGCUGUUGUAAGAGAAGAACGGGUGUGAGAGUGGAAAGUUCACACUGUGACGGUAUCUUACCAGAAAGGGACGGCUAACUACG
rnacentral:rRNA from 1 species